AACGAACGCUGGCGGCAUGCCUAACACAUGCAAGUCGAACGAGACCUUCGGGUCUAGUGGCGCACGGGUGCGUAACGCGUGGGAACCUGCCCUUAGGUUCGGAAUAACUCCCCGAAAGGGGUGCUAAUACCGGAUAAUGUCUUCGGGCCAAAGAUUUAUCGCCUUUGGAUGGGCCCGCGUUGGAUUAGCUAGUUGGUAGGGUAAAAGCCUACCAGGGCGACGAUCCAUAGCUGGUCUGAGAGGAUGAUCAGCCACACUGGGACUGAGACACGGCCCAGACUCCUACGGGAGGCAGCAGUGGGGAAUAUUGGACAAUGGGCGAAAGCCUGAUCCAGCAAUGCCGCGUGAGUGAUGAAGGCCUUAGGGUUGUAAAGCUCUUUUACCCGGGAUGAUAAUGACAGUACCGGGAGAAUAAGCUCCGGCUAACUCCGUG
rnacentral:rRNA from 1 species